rnacentral:rRNA from 1 species
GACGAACGCUGGCGGCGUGCUUAACACAUGCAAGUCGAGCGGUAAGGCCCUUUCGGGGGUACACGAGCGGCGAACGGGUGAGUAACACGUGGGUGACCUGCCCUCAGCUCUGGGAUAAGCCCGGGAAACUGGGUCUAAUACUGGAUAUGACUCCACGGUGCAUGCCGUGGGGUGGAAAGCCUUGUGCGGCUGAGGAUGGGCCCGCGGCCUAUCAGCUUGUUGGUGGGGUGAUGGCCUACCAAGGCGACGACGGGUAGCCGCCUGAGAGGGCGACCGGCCACACUGGGACUGAGACACGGCCCAGACUCCGUACGGGAGGCAGC